rnacentral:rRNA from 1 species
AAGGGAAAGGCGUUAGUGGCGGACGGGUGAGUAACGCGUGGGUAACCUGGCCCAUACAGGGGGAUAACACUUAGAAAUAGGUGCUAAUACCGCAUAACAACAGAAAGCGCAUGCUUUUUGUUUGAAAACCAAGGUGGUAUGGGAUGGACCCGCGUCUGAUUAGCUGGUUGGCGGGGUAAAGGCCCACCAAGGCGACGAUCAGUAGCCGGCCUGAGAGGGUGGACGGCCACAUUGGGACUGAGACACGGCCCAAACUCCUACGGAAGGCAGCAG